AUUGAACGCUGGCGGCAGGCCUAACACAUGCAAGUCGAACGAGACCUUCGGGUCUAGUGGCGCACGGGUGCGUAACGCGUGGGAACCUGCCUUUAGGUUCGGAAUAACUCAGAGAAAUUUGAGCUAAUACCGGAUAAUGUCUUCGGACCAAAGAUUUAUCGCCUUUAGAUGGGCCCGCGUUGGAUUAGCUAGUUGGUGGGGUAAAGGCCUACCAAGGCGACGAUCCAUAGCUGGUCUGAGAGGAUGAUCAGCCACACUGGGACUGAGACACGGCCCAGACUCCUACGGGAGACAGCAGUGGGGAAUAUUGGACAAUGGGCGCAAGCCUGAUCCAGCCAUGCCGCGUGUGUGAAGAAGGCCU
rnacentral:rRNA from 1 species